UAUUGCGGUUGCUAAUAAUUAAAUUAUCAUUGCUAAUAGUUUUAGUAACAGUAAGAUUUUUGAUCGAUUUUGUGGUGGCUAAAAGGUAUUAUUAGCAAUGAAAUUUUUUUCUUUCACUAAUACCAUCGUUAAUAUUCAAUAUUCUUAUAGUACAUCAAUUAUUCCACAUCAAUCUCUUGUCAACGUGUCACUACAUCUAUGUACGGUUAUCUGACAGCCAUCAUAUAGCUCAACUGUAACUGUCUUUCAGUUAUAUUCCAGCUUAUUAGCCACAUGGACAACUGCCCCA
rnacentral:lncRNA from 1 species